rnacentral:rRNA from 1 species
UACAGAGGCCUCGAGCGUUAGGCGGAAUCACUGGGCUUAAAGCGUGUGUAGGUGGAUGCCUAAGUGCCUUGUGAAAUCCCAUGGCUUAACCAUGGAAUUGCUGGGCACACUGGGCGUCUUGAGCCACUCAGGGGCUACCGGAACAAACGGUGGAGCGGUGAAAUGCGUAGAUAUCGUUUGGAACGCCAAUGGUGAAAACAGGUAGCUGGGGGUGUGCUGACACUGAGACACGAAAGCCAGGGGAGCGAACGGG